GGUAGUCCACGCCCUAAACGAUGAAUACUUGGUGUUGGCCCGCAAGGGUCAGUGCCGUAGGAAACCUGAUAAGUAUUCCACCUGGGGAGUACGCUCGCAAGGGUGAAACUCAAAGGAAUUGACGGGGGCCCGCACAAGCGGUGGAGCAUGUGGUUUAAUUCGAUGCAACGCGAAGAACCUUACCUGGGCUUGAACUGUUGGUGGUAGGACCCUGAAAGGGAACGACCCGAAAGGGAGCCAGCAGAGGUGCUGCAUGGCUGUCGUCAGCUCGUGCCGUGAGGUGUUGGGUUAAG
rnacentral:rRNA from 1 species